rnacentral:lncRNA from 1 species
GGAAGAUUCAGGUCCACGCCUCCGAGAGCGGCCUCUGUACGAACAUCCUAUCCUUGUCCCCGCAAUUAAAGGGGAGGAACCGAAACCUGGAUGGGCUCAGGCAUCUGCCACAGAUCGCUGGAUGACCGCAGCCGUGGCAGGUGAAAAGAGGACAUCUGUUCCAACCCUGGGGAAGCAGUAGCCUCAUUGUCCUUGCCAUUUUAAACUGCAGCAGCAACUUGGAGUUCAACAAUGAAGCAAUGAUAUCUGAGAACAAAGGAGCUCUUGCCAGCUAAAUGUCAGCGCAUCUCAUGUGAUUAGAUAAAACACUGCAGCAGACCUGCGUGUCAGCCAGCACAGUGAGGAUGUGUUCUUCUGACACCUUUUGUUGGAAGCAGCUUUAGGAUAGAUUAUUUAAACUUUAUGUAUAUGAAAUCCAGUAAAAAUGAGCGAAGCCCCCAGAUUCUUUGUUGGGCCUGAAGAUGCGGAAAUCAAUGCUGGAAACUACCGUCGCUUCUUCCACCAUGCUGAUGAAGAGGAGGAGGAGGAGGAGGAGUCUCCACCAGAAAGGCAGAUUGUGGUUGGAAUAUGUUCCAUGGCCAAGAAAUCCAAAUCCAAACCCAUGAAGGAAAUUUUGGAACGGAUCUCCUUGUUUAAGUACAUCACAGUCGUGGUUUUUGAGGAGGACGUGAUCUUGAAUGAGCCCGUGGGUGACUGGCCUCUGUGUGACUGCCUCAUCUCUUUCCACUCGAAAGGUACUGAAUCUCUAGAUCGGCAGUAGAAGUAGUGUGUAUUCCCCAGAAAGCAGCGUGCGAAAAACGGGGUCAUAUAUAUAUGAAGAAUUUAUGCCUACAGACGGUACUGACGUUCACCUCUGUAAACAUGCCUUCCCUUGUUUUCCCUCCCACAAGGUGAAUUCCCCACACUUUAAACAACCAUGUAGACAUUUCUUCUGUGUCUAAGAAUUGCAUCUUUACAGUUUUAGUACAUAAUGCCCAACUUUGUACUUAUGUACAGAGAAUAAAGUCUUUUAUGCUGUAUAAGUAAUUAUGUAUAGUUACAUGUAUGUUAUAACUUUUUGAUAUAUUGAAAAAUCCUGCCAUAUAAAACAGGAUACGCUUAUUAAUAGUCUUCUAUCUGAACUAUUCUUAAAUAGAUAUUUUUCUUUGACUUUAUUGUUCCUGGUUAUAUAUUUAACUAGCAUCUACACUAUAAAUAUUUAAACUUUCUGAAGUAUGGUCAUUUUUCAGGAAUAAACCGUAAGGUCCAAUUGACCUAUCUCCCUCAUGGUUGUCCAAAAACAUCCAGUGAAGAGGAAGGUAUAUCAAUUUUAAUCCCCAUUGCAGUUAUGUGUAUGUAAUAACUUAUACUAUAGUGAUAACUUGGAUCAUUUUCUGUUCAAUAUAUUUUGGGAUUGGUGUGCUGCUUAAAAAAAACAAAUAAGUAUUUUGUUAGCUACGCUUCUAUCCUUUAAUAAAGAGACUUUGUUUUGUUU